GGGGAAAUCCCUUUUUACUUUUGCGAGCGGGCUGCCGGGCUUUGGAAAGGGCUUAAAACCAAAGUCAUGCUCAACCUUUUGUAGGAGACAUCCAGAAGUUACGUAGAUUAUUUUUGUUGUUGUUGUUGUUGUUUGCAUGCUCGUUUUGAGCCGGUCGGGCGGCGAGCGCUGUAUUUGCGCCUGUGCGUUGCCGGACUUCGCUGUGCAUCGACGCCGCGCUGGCGGAAUGCGUGCCCGAGUAUUAGCUCGGUAAUGCCUUCUAAUGGUAGUGCUAAUUACAGCGGGGUUAUUUAGCAAAUUAAGUGAGAUGAUGCCCCCCCCCCCGAGCACCAAAUGAACUUUUCCAAACGCACACGCACACACACACACGCGCGCGCGGUAGUUUUGGUGCGUUUCCCUCGCCCAAUCACUUUGCUGGAGCUAAAACAUGCCUCACCUCCGAACAGUCAAUUACCAAAGCGAGCUGGGAUCAUCAAUCAUGGGGGAUGCUUGAAGUUUAGGGGAGGAGCGAUGGUCAAACUAUCGAUUGCUGCAGUUUUGUCCUCCCCAACCCCCCACCCUCGUUCACGGUCCCCUGCACAUAAAAUCUAAAACAGACUAUCCCGUUAAUAGUGGGAUUUAUCAAUGAUUAUGUCCCCGGUUGUGAAUGUGGCCUCAUACAUAGAUGGCUUUUAAAAAUACACGGCAGGAAAAAAAAAAAAAACAAACCAGUAUUUAUUCAGUCAGGUUUUGUUUUGCUUUUCGUGAUGAUGACGAUGAUUUUAAGAUUUUUUUUAUUAUUUAUUUUUUUUGAAACGUUAAGAAAAUUACUCAAGGGGUAGUUAUAGAUAUUUGGCCUGAUUUUAAUAGGCGUAGGGAAUGAGCUCCAGAGGUCAAUAAAGCCCUCCAAAAUGAUGAAUGAUUGAGUACCUGUGAUGAUGAUAGUGAUUACCGGAGCAAUUAAACAGUUUGAUUAAAUGAGCCAUCAUAACAAUGAUGUCUGCGGGAAAUCAGCCCUCACAUAUAAAGAAAGAUAGCGUGGAGGGCUGACAAACGCCAGUGGGCAUUCCUGCGUGUUCCGAUAGCGCCGAGCCCUGCAGAGCAGGGCUGUAUUUACAAAUAUGGGGGGGGAUACGGAGAAAAGCCCCUCUCCUACUUUUAGCCAGAGUUGCACCCUGAUUAAAACCCGCCAGAAGCCGGAGAGCAGACCCGGGUUCUUUUUUGAUUUGGUUGGUUUUAGUUUGGUUUUUGUUGUUGUUGUUGUUGUUGUUGUUGUUGGGGUUUGGUUUUGGGGUUUUUUUUUUUUUUUUUUUUUUUUUUUCCCUAGAGGAUCUCCUCCAAGAUUAAAGCUAGUCCUAAGAGCAACUGAAUUGCUGUGACUGACUUUCACGGGACUGUAAAGAGAGAUCAGCUCAAAAGUCCAAAGAGAAAUGAGGUGUCCGGUAUGGAAGUGCAUCUCAGUCAACAGCCAGCUCCUUUUGCCGAGGCUGGAAAUGGUUUUAACAGGCGGUAAAAUUUCAUCUUGUGGUGUCAAAUUGGGGUCAGUUUGGGGUUAGCGCUCUCAGUGUCCGAGCAGGAGCUGUCCAGCUGUGUGGGGAUUCAUUAAGGGCAAAAGAUCCGUUUCAAGAAAAACAAUACAAAGACAAUCAGAGGGCUAAAGAUCGUCUUCAAAUCGCAUUUUACAAGUGCACCAGAACAAAUAUGGACGCUGAAACCUAUUCCCUUCAAACUCCCAAAUCGGCUUCUUAGCCCUUGGAGGGAGUGAGGGAGAAAAUCCUCUAAAACUUAAGAAGAGUCUGUUUUCAAUCAGCCUUUCCGAAGUGUGGCAUCUUAGUCCUUUGCUGGCUCUGAGACAUGCCUCUCUCGCUCGCUCGCUCCCUCUCUCUCUCUUUUUUCCACAGCCUUGCAAAAGCGGAUGGCACAACAGGGAUAUGUAUGUUUAAAGAGAUGCUGAAGAGAUUUCUGAGAUCACGGGGAAGAAGGGAAGGUUGGUUCGGGGAACGGCAGCGCGCCUGGCAGGUAUUUUACUGACCGUCCCUUCCUUUGAACACUUCCAAUCUCUCCGCUUCUUUUCAUCCGGAAUAUCUUCCCCAGACCAAGUAUGAUCCCUGUUGUAAUUCUUGUGUGUGUUUGUGAUCCCUUCUGAGGUAAAUUGAGAAGUAAGCCGCGCAAAAGGAGGAAAUCGCCCCUGGGGUGCUUUGUUUACUUUGGUUUGUAAAAUCCUGCUAGGAGAUGGUUUCCUCAGUGUGUGGCAAGUGUUUCUUCAAGAAAUUCAUCAGCCCUUCUACAAUUACUUCGAGCUCCGAGGGAAGAGAGCUGCCAUCACUUUCUCACAUCCCAAGGUGUUGCAUGGAGGAGAGAAGAAAAGGCUUGAGCAUUUAAUUAUGAUGGGGCGGGGGGGGGGGGGGGGAGGGGGGAGCGGAGGCUGCAGAAGCCGUCCCAAGCCUGUACCUGGGAAAGAAAAAUCUGCAAGGGUAUAUCUGGAAGACGUGUGCCGUUUAGAGAUGGGGAAAAGUACCCCAUCUUGUGCAGUAAUUAGUCUGAACAAUAAACAUAAUUGGAAUAAAAUCAGUUGGAAAUUCCUGCGUUUUUAAUUACGUUUCAUUUUGUGGUAAGCCGUAAAAUUAUGAAUGCCUCUCAAUUAAACACUAUCCACUUGUAAAGCAUUUAACAACAAUUAUUCCUUAAUCAGUUGGAAUGUUAGCCACAAAUGAUGCUGUUAAACAUCAAAGGGACGCCUUAGACUUUACCUUUUAGUCAUAAGUAAGAGGAUUAAUUUCUAUAAUUAGAGGGGAUAAAUAUGUGCAUAAAUACAUCUAAUUUUUUUACACGUUCUCAUCCUGUCUGGUAGAGGCGAGGAUCUCUGACAGAGCAUGCACUUCUAGCUCACCUCCGGCUCCCAGGAGGCGACCCCGGGAGCAGCGAGGUCCGAACUUCCCUCCCGGGAGGCCCGAUCCUGCGCACCACUCCGCGCCCCUCCGCGGGCGCCGGAACCUCCGCCGCCGCCCGGGACUGCGGGAUCGGGCCCGCCCUGGGCACAGAGCUUCGGGGGAAUUUGGAGCCCUCCUUGGCUUUUAUUUACACUUUUUUUUUUUUUUCUUUUUUCUUUUUUUUACGGCACCCGGUGUCUACCUGGCUUUUCAGUCCCCUCGGGGACAAUUUGCUGCCCCAAACAAAGCUCGAGAUUCGAGCUGAAUACCGCAAAUAAAAUUAGCAUGACCUUGAUUACACCCUGUAUGAAUAUCUCAUUUACCUAAUGACUUUAUGUCACGUACGCAGAGGGUCAAUUUCCUUUUAACCUUUCCCAUUGCUGCAGUAAGCAUUCUUUUAUAAUCAAUGGCUGUUUGAAUAAUCAAUUCACAUUUUAUGAUCCCUGACAAACUCAAUAUAUGUGCGCCUCGUUUCAGCAAAGCAGCCGGCCCUUCUCCGCGCCGCCUUCACGUCCGAAGAGUUUGCGGCGGGGUUUCCCGGCUCCCCGGGAAGCGGCCCCGGGCCGCGCAAGCCAGCCUCUGCCGGGCUCCGCGGGAGGAUGCGGGAGCUGCGCCCCCGCCC